rfam:Salmo salar isolate Sally breed double haploid chromosome ssa25, whole genome shotgun sequence.
CCCUGUGGCUCAGUUGGUAGAGCGUGGUGUUUGCAACGCCAGGGUUGUGGGUUUGUAUUCCCACAGGGG